rnacentral:rRNA from 1 species
CCUACGGGUGGCUGCAGUGGGGAAUCUUCCGCAAUGGACGAAAGUCUGACGGAGCAACGCCGCGUGAGUGAUGAAGGUCUUCGGAUUGUAAAGCUCUGUUAAUCGGGACGAAAGCGUUCUGUGUGAAUAAUGCAGGACAGUGACGGUACCGGAAUAGAAAGCCACGGCUAACUACGUGCCAGCAGCCGCGGUAAUACGUAGGUGGCUAGCGUUGUCCGGAAUUAUUGGGCGUGGAGCGCCCGCAGGCGGAUAAAAGUUCGGGGCUCAACCCCGUGAUGGGAUGGAAACUACAGUUCUAGAGUAUCGGAGAGGAAAGUGGAAUUCCGAGUGUAGCGGUGAAAUGCGUAGAUAUUAGGAAGAACACCAGUGGCGAAGGCGACUUUCUGGACGAACACUGACGCUGAGGCGCGAAAGCCAGGGGAGCGAACGGGAUUAGAUACCCCUGUAGUC